CGUAAGAAACUAAUAUUUGGUGAUUGUGUUGUUUUCACAUUUGUAGGAAAUGCCUCAUGUCUUCCGAAAGCCUAAACACUGUCAUGCAAAUCAAACCCCUUCAUAAAUGAUUAGAGGUGUUCUCAGGAGAAGUGAGGGUCUGGGUUCAGGUUCAGAUCAAACCAUGUUCUCUACACUUCUACUCUUGCUGUUAACAGCUACAUCUGGUAUUAAAUGUAUUGAACUGGUUCAGCCUGCAGUCAUACUGGUUAAGCCUGGAGAAUUAUUUUCAGUCCCCUGUAAGAUCACUGGAUACUCAGCCACUAGUCAAUGUACUAACUGGAUACGACAAUCAGGACAAAAACUGGAAUUGAUCGGCUGGUACUGCAGCUCCAGUGAUACUGGCAGCAGCGAUUCACUAAAGAACAAGAUCCGUUUCUCAGCUGAUGCCUCCACCAACACUGUGACUUUACACGGGCAAAACUUUCAGACUGAGGACACAGCUGUGUAUUACUGCGCUCGUAACUCACAGUGAGACAGAUCAACAAAGACGCUGUACAAAAACAUCCAGUACAGAAGUCUGUUAGAGGCAGAAACUGUGUCUAUGUUUCACCUUGUGAGUUUCUCAGGAGAGUGAGAUGACGACAUCAGCUAA